rfam:Triticum aestivum genome assembly, contig: Triticum_aestivum_CS42_TGACv1_scaffold_578789_7BL
CUAGUACUCCCUCCGUCCCGAAAUACUUGUCGGAGGAAUGGAUGCAUCUAGACGUAUUUUAGUUUUAGAUACAUCCAUUUAUAUGCAUUUCUUCGACGAGUAUUUCCGGACGGAGGGAGUACCAA